AAAACACAUGAAAAUGAUAGAAUUUAAACCAAUCAUUUAACAUUCUGGUAUUUAUACAUGAACAUUACCAAAAUUGCUUGAAAAAAAAAAUACCCAAAGGCACCACCUAGUGGGAGACUUUGGUAUCACACCUCUAACAAUAUUUGUAAACGAUCUACUUAUAAAAAUCCUAAUAUUAAAAACAAUAACUGUUUAGUGUUAAAUUGAAUUUAGCGAUCACAUGUUCAACUCUGCUACAAAGACUAUAUACUAUAUUUUUAUUACCUUCAACCGACCUGGUUUGAGGAAAAACUCAAGUAAAACCUUCCAAAGGAAACGCUCCUUAUGACUUUAAAUCUUGUGUGAACAUCAUAACAUUGGGUUGGAUUAACUUUCUCUGGGUCCACUUAGUGUGUAAACAAAUAGAGCCUUAUAACAGCAGGAUGUCUAUUUGUUGCUUCAACACAAAUCCCAGUAAACCUAAAGUCCAUUUCAGGGAUUUAAAAGGAAUUUGGAAGAAUGAAGAAUAGAUUGGAGCUCCCGCUUGUAUCUCUUAAGUUCCUAAAUUGUGGGAACCGAAGCUGCAAACUCUUUAACAGUAUUGGAAUGCAAAUAAUAGUCAUGGAAGUCUCAAAACAUGUUGCAGUUAUUAACUUAUUUUGACCCAACCAUGCAUGUGUCUCUUUCAUCUGUCUUCAAAAGCUGUAUAAUUACACUGCAAAAGCAGAUGUGCAUUAAGCUGUGAGGUCAGCCGUCUUUGUCCACCUCCUUCAGUGGUGCUCGGACUUGUUCUCACAUCUUCAGGGCAAAAAUAGUGACUGGUUUUCCUUAAAUCAGACAUUUUCUUGCCAAAUUUCAGGUUUUUCUACGUUUGUUGCUGUUUGAUAUGAAAUAUCGCCUCAUAAAACCCUCUGUGCCACGUGGGAGCAGGUGUGACUGCAGGCUUCAGUCGCGCCUCAAACAUCAGACCUCAAUACAGUGGCCUUUCUUCUAUUGUUUUUUGUUGUUUUGUUUUGUUACUGCAGAAAACUGGUGGAGACUAAAUGUUUGGAACCUGGUUGUGGAAGGAAAUCUCAUAAUAUGAAUAAAGUGAAAUGAUCUAGGGAAACGUGUCUGAUGCCCUCAGCAUGGAUCCAGAAGUCAUUUCCUCUUCCUGCUGGAAGCAGCCACAAUAAUCAAUUAUCUCCCUGAAGGUCUCUCUGUUUUUGGCAGCGACUAAAGUGAGUGAGCCGCAGAUGAAGGUUGUUGGUAUCCAACGUGGAAGACGUGAGUCACUUUGAGUUUUACAGCGGAGAAAAAUGAGGCUGAUGAGCCGACGGGAGGAAAAAGAUGAGGAACAACAUGUCCUGUUUCCUGCUGCUUCAUCAUAACAUCAUUGAUUAAUCACAGAUGAAGAAUAUGUGGGAUUUCUUAGGCUGAUGCAGGGAUACAAACAUUUAUUUUUCUGUUAUACUGAUGCAUAAUAAAACAAUUUCAUAA